UACGUAGGGGGCGAGCGUUGUCCGGAGUUACUGGGCGUAAAGCGCACGCAGGCGGUCUGUGAAGUUUGGAGUGACAGUUGGUGGCUCAACCACCAAAGUGCUUUGAAAACUGAUAGACUUGAGGGCUUCAGAGGGACACGGAAUUCCGGGUGGAGUGGUGAAAUGCGUAGAGAUCCGGAGGAACACCAAAGGCGAAGGCAGUGUCCUGGGGAGUACCUGA
rnacentral:rRNA from 1 species